UUAGCCCCUACAAACUUAUUGAGUUCUUUAGUUCUUUCCUUCGUCUUAUUUAGGUAUUUCAUUAACUUUCUUUCACCGAAUUUUCCUAUUUAUGUUUGCACUUAGUGCUUCUUCCCAUAAUUUUGUUUUCCCUACUUUUAGCCUUAUGUCUUCUCUUGAUAAUUUAAACAUAGUCAUUCAACAAGCAAGUCAAUUAUCAUGCAUAGGUCAAGAAGACAUUAUAGAUUAAGAUUAAACUCAAAUCAAAUGGUCCAGUGCACUUAUAGGCAAAACACUUUUCAUAAUUGUCAUUUUCGCUUUUGUUAUCACAAAAAUCCUCAACAACCUCUAGAAAGUUCACUAAUUUACAGAAGUAAAAGGAUUAUGACC
rnacentral:lncRNA from 1 species